GAACCACAGGAGAGGUGUGAGACUGUGCAAGGUGCUCGAGCCACAGGAGAGUCGUGAGAAUGUGCAAGGUGCUACGACCCACAGGAAAGGCAUGAGAAUGUUCAAGGUGCUCGAGCCACAGGAGAGUCGUGAGAAUGUGCAAGGUGCUACGACCCACAGGAGAGGCAUGAGAGUGUGCAAGGUGCUACGAGCCGCAGGAGAGGCGUGAGAGUGUGCAAGGUGCUACGAGCCACAGGAGAGGCGUGAGAGUGUGCAAGGUGCUACGAGCCGCAGGAGAGGCGUGAGAGUGUGCAAGGUGCUACGAGCCGCAGGAGAGGCGUGAGAGUGUGCAAGGUGCUACGAGCCGCAGGAGAGGCGUGAGAGUGUGCAAGGUGCUACGAGCCGCAGGAGAGGCGUGAGAGUGUGCAAGGUGCUACGAGCCACAGGAGAGGCGUGAGAGUGUGCAAGGUGCCAAGAGUUGCAAUAGAGGCGUGAGAUUGUGCAAGGUGCUAUAAGGUGCAGGAGAGAUGUGAGAGUGUGCAAGGUGCUAUGAGCUGCAAUAGAGGCGUGAGAGUGUGCAAGGUGCUACGAGCCACAGGAGAGGCGUGAGAGUGUGCAAGGUGCCAAGAGUUGCAAUAGAGGCGUGAGAUUGUGCAAGGUGCUAAAAGGUGCAGGAGAGGCGUGAGAGUGUGCAAGGUGCUACAAGCAGCAGAAGCAGUGUGAAAGUGUGUAAAUGUGCAUGAACAUAUCAAGAGCGUUACCUUCGUUUCCGUCGUCCGUUUUUAAAGCUGGAUUCUGAAAGACAUUGCAUUUCCCAUUACAAUGUUAUCUUUUUGUCUGAUGUUAUUGUCACACUAUGCUGUGUGAGCCUCCUCCUCCCUGCUUUGUGUCAUAUUCCCAGAGAAUGGUGCUGCGGGUCACCAGGUGCCCUGCGCUGUUGCAAACAGCUCUGCUCCUGCAUUGCCAUGGCAACCACAGCCAGGAGAAGAUUGUUCAGAAGCCAGCCUACACGUGCC